UACGUAGGGGGCAAGCGUUGUCCGGAAUUAUUGGGCGUAAAGAGCGUGUAGGCGGCCAGAUAAGUCCGCUGUGAAAUCUCGAGGCUCAACUUCGAGCUGUCGGUGGAAACUAUCUGGCUAGAGUCCGGAAGAGGAGAAUGGAAUUCCUGGUGUAGCGGUGAAAUGCGCAGAUAUCAGGAAGAACACCCGUGGCGAAGGCGGUUCUCUGGACGGUACUGACGCUGAGACGCGAAAGCGUGGGGAGCGAACAGG
rnacentral:rRNA from 1 species